CAGGGGUAUCAAGUCUCUUGGGUGUUAGGGCCAGCUAUCCUUAGAGAGGAGGCCAUCCUCUGUGCUUCUGGGGCAUCCUCUGUGCUUAGGGCACAAGCAAGCCCAGGUGGUAAACUGCGAAGCAGGCUGGAGCUGGAAGCAAGGGCGAGGUUUGCAGGGAGCUUUGGAACCCCCCUGGGGAAUGUGUGAGGGCAGGGGAGGCAUCCAGGGAUGGGAAAGCAGAAGCGAGGUUGCUGUUGAACAUGUGUUCCGGAUAGGGGGGAGUGCUGUGUGCGUGACUAUGAAGCACACAGGCCGUCGUGAUGGCCUCCACCAGGGGCUUCCUGGACUCUGCAAGAUGCUGAAGGACUCAGAGAGGACUCUGGGGGUUAGGGGUGGAAGUUCCCAGCUCUGUCAGCCCGCAUCCCAUAAUGCAUAGUCAGGCGUCAUCUUGUAAAUGUGUGUAGGUGAUCCUUUUAUCUCACAGAAGCAGAUGGUGGAAGCAGGGUCCCCUUUGGCCACCGGACUGUUGGAUUCUCUGGCACGCGGUAAGUACUAAGGAAGUCCUAAAGUACUAAAUGGGGAGCAAGGGUUGGUGACAAACAGCUUGCUCCGACUUUGACAGUCUGCCUCACAAUCUCUUUGCCUGGGGGUUAGCUAGAGCCCUUUGGUUCUUUCUCUUCAUUCUAUUUGAGGCCUUGACCCUCUGCACUUCGUGGGCAGUUUUACGUGGUCAAAGUGUUAUUGGCUUCAGGCGAAAGCAAAGCUCAGCGAUAAGGGAGGUGCCUUUAAAAGCAGUGUGGCUGUUAGUGCUGCUGUGUCCCUGACCAGACCUGUGAAGUUUACAGGUGGCCUAGUAGCAUGGGUGCAGAAUCCGGGUACCGUGGCUUUUGGUGGACUGUGGGGAGCACACAUGCAACAGACAGAGGGGAGAAGACAAUAGAAGCUGGAGCCUCCAGGAGCUGCUGGGCAACUGUGACCUCUGAAGGCCGAGCUCGUCCGCAGCCGACCACCAGAGCUGCCCGCGACCAACCAAAUGAGUACCCCCAGGAAGCUGUGGAGACUCCCCGAUGGAGUAGUCUAGACUUCACCGUGUGA
rnacentral:lncRNA from 12 species